AGUGAACGCUGGCGGCGUGCCUAAUACAUGCAAGUCGAACGGAGUGGCGCACGGGUGAGUAAUAUAUAGCUAACCUGCCCCUUGCUGGAGGACACCAGUUAGAAAUGAAUGCUAAUCCUCCAUAUCAAGGGAUGGGACUAUAUCGUAUCAGCUAGUCGGUGGGGUAACGGCCGACCGAGGCGAUGACGCGUAACUGGUCUGAGAGGAUGAUCAGUCAAAUUCGAAGGGAGGCACGGUCGAGGAACCUUGGGCAGGGGGCGGAAGGCGGUUGUACGCAAGGCGGGAGACCGAAAAGGAGCUACGGGGUGUGGAGGAUGACAAGUUUCGAAGAGGAAACUCCUUUUGAUAAGCAUGCGGUACCUGACGAAGAAGCACCGGCUAACUCCGUGCCAGCAGCCGCGGUAAUUC
rnacentral:rRNA from 1 species